rnacentral:lncRNA from 1 species
UCUAUCACUCAUUGCCCAUGUGAUGUGACGUCGACUCUGUGGUUUGACAGCAUCCUGUUUUCCUUCUGUAAGGGGACAGUUAAAAAAAGAAACACUUGUCUCCCAGGGAUACACGUCACUGGCCUAUGUACACGUAUGGCACCUGAAUGUGCCAGGCUAGAGUUUAGCUAGAGCUUUUCCUGUGCCCUUCCUUUGUCCUUCGCUCCUCCCACUGGAAGCAAGGGUUACUUUUAUAAUAUGAAAAAUGAAUGUAGACUUAGCCAAGGGCUGGUGAGCCUAUUUCCAUGGUCUGGUAUCUUGCUUGACACCAGAGGGUGUCUCCAAAUGGAGGAUUCUCGUGAUGGGAAUUGGGCAGAGCUAGUCUUCAAUCCAGAUUUGAUCCUGAUGGGUUUCCUCACAUCAUCCCUCCUAGACCUCCCGAGCUCCCACAGACACCAAUUGUAAAAGAGCAGACAUCACCUGCCAAAGACACUCACUUGACGAUGCUUGAUCUCCUGGGACCUAGCUGUGGAAACUCGAAUGAAGAGGGGAACCUGACUCUGUAGGGCGUGAUAGGGCCUGUGUUCCUCCGGCUGGAAAGAUGAAGAAUAUCACAAGGAAUCUGAAUGAAGGAGAAGAAAGGCGUUCUGCACAGUACCACAGUGGAUGUUGCCAGGUCUAAACUCACUCUCUCGCUCAUUCAGCCUUUGAAUUUUGGUAGGAAUCCUUAGAGUCCAAGCACUCAGGAAAACCAUGUUGCUUGCAAUUGUCAUGGAGCAAAACUGAGGUAGCAAAAGCCCGUCUGCAAAGGUGGAAAUUUGCCUUGGAGUUGGACCUUGGCAGAAGGCUACAUGAGGCCUUAGGUAAUCCAAAAGGCAGGUGUAUGCCCAGUUUUUGGUUUUUGGUUUUUAUUUUUUAUAAAAGACUCAGCAAUACUUUGUGAGUAAAUGGUUCCUACAUCAACCUUCUAAACUGGCAUGAUGUCAAAUGAUAAUUCAGGGAAGGCAUUUCUACAGGAAGCAGAGAUAAUAAGCCCCGAGUGCUUUUGUUUUCUGCCUUUGUUUCUUAAUGCAGGGAAAACCUUCAGCCUCCCAGUUAAAAACCCAGAUGAGGGGCUGGGAGUCGUCACAGUCUGACCCCUGAGGACAUUAGUCCAAUUUUGUUCUGUAACCAGAACAAGUAGCAAAAUGAGACAGGACAAAAGAAACAAGAGAUAACAUUUACUUCUCGGUUUAAGGGUGUGCAUGUGUGCAUACCUGCAUGUGUGUGUGUGUGUGUGUGUGUGUGUGUGUGUGUGUGUGUGUAGUGGGUAGAAUAGGGGGUUGUGGGAAUGCUUUUUUUCUUACCGAUGUCAUAGCUCUCCAUCCAGUGUCCCCAGGGUUCCUCGGGGACACAGGCUGAUUUCCAUUGUGUCAUCUGGUACAAGUGUCCCUGAUUGCCACUAGAGGGCGUCACAACAGCUACAAAGUGCUUUAAUCUGAGGUGUCCUAUGUCACUGGCUCUCAGCCUCUCAGCUGCCUAUUGGCUAGACUUGACUGGUGUCUCCAGGGACUCUGAUGUAAGACCUCUCUAUGGUCACAGGGGGGAAGAAAACAAGACGUCACAUCCUGCACCUUUACUACAGGGUUGCACCUCAGGUCCGGGAGAGACUGGCAUAUAGGUUGAUAUGACAAAGUGGAUGACAAGGCCAAAGGACAGUAGCUUGGCCACUGCAGCUUUAACCUGCACUAUAAACAGAAGCCCAGAUAACCCCAUAGGAACAUUGUGUUGGCUGCAAAGCAUGCAUCUACCAAGUGCUAUGGUGAACACUUCAAAUCCCAAAUGGCAUGCAAUAUAAGAAUCUCAACCCAGCACUGCUCCCUGAAUUAAGGGAUCUCAAAUGUCCUACUUCCUCGAGUCCGUGGGUCCCCAGACCUUACCUGCCAUGCUCUGUGGAUUGUAAAGGACCAUAUCCCCUUAGCAUACCCUCAUGAUCUGUCGAUGGGUGUUGAAUGCCUCAUAGGGUUAUAUAUAGCCUGGCGCCUGGUAGCUACCCUGUCUUGCUGUUUGUAACUCAGAAACCCUGUUUCUUUGUGUCAAGGACAGUUGAAGCUUUAAUCAUCACCAUGCUGCCCGUUUCCACAGCCUUCCCUGAAUUACUUGUCAAAGAAGGGGUUGUUAUUAGGGCAGUGUAAUGAAAGGUAAUCUGUGCUUACAACCCUGGCUUUGAAAGCCUGUGGUGGUAGUGAAUGGGGGUUGUUACAAUGAGAGAAGCCUGAGCAAGUAGAGAUGCCUGUUUUCUACCGUUAAGGUGUCUGUGACUCAAAAUACUUAUAUGUUUGGUUAAACAUCUAGCACAAACUCUCCUUUUUCUUUUCUUUUUUUUCUUUUCUUUUCUUUUCUCUUCUCUCUUUUCUCUUCUUUUUUUCUUCUUCUUUUUUUAUGGUUUUUCAAGACAGGGUUCCUCUGUUUAGCCCUGGCUGUCAUAGAGCUCACUCUGUAGACCAGGCUGGCCUUGAACUUAGAGAUCCUCUUGCCUUUGUAUCUGGGGAUUAAUGGCAUGUACCACUACUGCCUGGCAAGGCUCUUAAUCUUCAGUGAAUAAAAAUCAAGUAUAGGAACCAAUCAUUUGGUAAGAAAGUAAAGAAAAGGACACUAAUAUUCACUCUAGUUCUAAUGGUAAACACUGGACAUUUCUCAAUAAGCUUUCAUUCCAUUUGUUAUUAAUGAUAUAAUACAAGCCUCUUAUUACAAUGCAAUCUAAACAACGAUUCAUUGAGGGCACUUUAUGGAGCAUGUUGAAGCAGGUACUUACUAGUCCCCAACCUUUUGAUGUAGGCUCCAUCUCGGCCUUUCUUACUAAGCAGAUGGUUCCGGCUAGGCAGAUGCGGAAACAGUGGUUGACGGAAGUAAGUGACUAGCAAAGUCAAAGAGGUCCUAGGCUGAAGAACUCAGGUGCAGCUGCAGGGCUGCGUGACAAUCCAGACCAUUUUCCUGUACCUCCGUGCCCAGCGAGAUUAUUGAGAAUGGGAUUAUAGAUCUGAGGAGGUGGCUCGACGAGCUAAGUGCUUGCCUUGCACCCUGAAGAUGUGAGUUGGAUCCCCAGAGCCCAUGGGAGAGGAUUGGGUUUGGUACUGUGUGUUUGUAAUUCCAGUGCUGGGGAGGCAGGGGCCAGAGUAUCCCUAGCUUGCCGGCUUGCCAGUCUAGUCAAAUCGGCGACUUCCAAGUUUAAUGAAAGGCCUUCUCUC